rnacentral:lncRNA from 1 species
AGAGGCUAAGUAAUCACAGACCCAGCUUUGGGCUAAGUAUGUAAAUGUGGGCGUCAGAUACACCUGCUUGAGUAAAUGUCUCCUCUCAAUACCUGGAAGAAUGAUGAGUGUUUGCUCUUCUACAAACCAACUCAAGGCACCCAGAAAGCAAGGAAGCUUCCAAAGAAAAAUGGAGUUAUAUUAAAAGGAUGUAGGCAUUAUCUUGAAGGGUUUUCUACUGGUCAAAGUUGGGAUAAUUUAAGCAUCAAAUAA